UCCGGAGGGUGCAAGCGUUGCUCGGAAUUAUUGGGCGUAAAGGGUAGGUAGGUGGUCUCAUUUGUCUGGGGUGAAAGCCUUGAGCUUAACUCAAGAAGUGCCCCAGAAACGGUGAGACUAGAGUUCUGGAGAGGGUCGUGGAAUUCCCGGUGUAGCGGUGAAAUGCGUAGAGAUCGGGAGGAACACCUGAGGCGAAAGCGGCGACCUGGACAGAUACUGACACUCAACUACGAAAGCGUGGGGAGCAAACAGG
rnacentral:rRNA from 1 species